GGCACCACAGCCCACAGUGCCACCACCGCUGCGGGACCGUGAGUCCUCCUGACCCCAUUCCUGACCCCAUUCCUGACCCCAUAUCUGUCCCCAACUUUGUUCCCAUCCCUGACCCCACAUUUGUCCCUUUGACCCCAAAUUUCUCCCUCUUUCCCCACUCCUGACCCCAAAUUUCCCCCUCUGUCCCCAUAUUAUCCCCCCAUCCCCACCCCUGACCCCAAUUUUCUCUCUUUGACCCCAAAUUUCUCCCUCUGUCCCCAAGUUUCCCCCUCUGCCCCCAUACUGUCCCUCCAUCCCCAUCCCUGACCCCAAAUUUGUCCCUUUGUCCCCAAUUUUGCCCCUCCAUUCCCACUCCUGACCCCAAAUUUCCCCCUCUGCCCCCAUAUUGUCCCUCCAUCCCCACCCCUGACCCCAUAUUUGUCCCUUUGACCCCAAAUCUGUCCCUCCAUCCCCACCCCUGACCCCAAAUUUCCCCCUCUGCCCCCAUAUUGUCCCUCCAUCCCCAUCCCUGACCCCAUAUUGUCCCUCUGUCCCCAUCCCUGACCCCAAAUCUGUCCCUUUGACCCCAAAUUUGCCCCUCCAUCCCCAGCUGUGACCCCAACUUUCCCCCUCUGACCCCAUAUUGCCCCUCCGUCCCCAUCCCUGACCCCAAAUUUGUCUCUUUGACCCCAAAUCUGUCCCUCCAUCGCCAUCCCUGACCCUAUAUUGUCCCUCAGUCCCCAUCCCUGACCCCAAAUUUGUCCCUUUGACCCCAAAUUUCCCCCUCUGACUCCAUACUGUCACUCCAUCCUGACCCCUGACCCCAAAUUUCCCCCUCUGCCCCCAUAUUAUCCCUCCAUCCCCACCCCUGACCCCCAAUCUCCCCCUCUGCCCCCAUAUUAUCCCUCCAUCCCCACCCCUGACCCCAAAUCUCCCCCUCUGCCCCCAUACCGCCCCUCCGUCCCCACCGUUGUCCCCAUGUCCCCCCCUGUCACCUGGGGGGUGGCCCUGGGGGUGGCCCUGGGCGCUGUGGGGUGGGCGCUGUUGGUUUCCUCUCUGCCCCACAGCGCCUGGGGGGUGGGGGGGGGGCAGGUGACGGUGGUGGCGUCUGUCACCAACACCCGCGGGCUGUGGAGCGAUUGUGUCACCGACGCCAGCGGGGUGACAUCGUGUGUCCCACUGCAGUCACUGCUCACACUGCCCGGUUACCUGCAGGGCAGCCGAGCGUUGGCUGUGGGAGCGGCGGCUGUGGGGACCCCCGGCCCACUUCUCCCCUUCUUGGGGGGUCCGGGGGGGCGACGGAGGGGUCGGAUCCUGGGGGGCGCUGCUGCUGCUGUCAGGUAUGAGCCCGGCCCGGGGCUGUUCCUGGCCGGGGGGGGGCGAUGCUUUUGGGGCUGGGGGGGGCAGCGCUCCUCCUUGCCGCGCGAGGACCCCCCCAGAACACAACGACCCCCAGUCUCCCCCUGGGGGGCCCCCCCCGGCCCCGAGGAGCGUCUGCUGCCAGUUUGGGGGACAAAUACGGCCGCAACGCCUACGUGUGACACCCCCCUCCCCCCCCCCAAAAAAAAGGGGGACCCCCCCCUCAGGACUGUGGGGACGCCCCCACAGGAAAAUUGGGGAUCCCUCUCUCCGGAUCUUGGGACACCAAAGGACCCCCCCAGGAACAUUGGAGUACCCCCCUCCCGCCCCCCCCUCAGGACUGUGCGACCCCCCCCCAAAAAAAGGGGACCCCACCCCCCUCAGGACUGUGGGGACUCUCUGGGACCGUGGGGACCCCCCCCGGAAAAUUGGGGAUCCCCCUCUCCGGAGCAUGGGGACACCGAAGGACCCCCCAGGAACAUUGGAGGACCCCCCCCCCCCUCAGAUUGAGGGGGAUCCCCCAGGACUGUGGGCUCCCCCCCAGAAAAAGGGAGACCCCCCCCCUAAAAAAGAAACGGAAGACCCCAAAGGAUAAUGGAAAACGAGACCCCCAAAUACAUGGGGACAACCCCAAGGAUGAUGAUCCCCCCCCACCCCCCCCCAAGGAAAAUAAGAGCCCCCCCCCACCCCCCCAGAACCGUGGGGAGCUCCAAUGGGCGAUGGGGACCCCCCCCCCGACCCCAAACAACGAGGACUUGAAUGGACAUGGAGACCCCCCCCAAAGGAAAUGAAGACCCUGAGGAGCAUGGAAGUCCCCCCCCUCCCCACUGGGGAUGAUGGGGACCCCAAAAGACAAUGGGGAGCCCCACUGGGCAGUGGUGGGAUUCUG
ensembl:lncRNA